ACAUCCUGGUUGGAUUUUCAGUUGAAUUUACCUAGUAGAAGGUGAAUUUCUAUUUUAGGAAGUCCUUGAAAAGUCACCAGAAAUCCAGAAAAGAAUUUGCACAGAGACACUUCUUAAAAGAUUGUAUUGAAAAUGAAAAGAAAAAAAUAGAUGGAGAACACUAAAAGAAGGCAGCAGACCAGCCCAAGGACAGUGGAGUCCAGCCACAGACCCUGGUACCAGUAGAUCUUAUUAUGCUCACUUAAUAGUAAGAAGGGAAACCCUCUGCAGAAGCCUUCACCCAAGGAUUCCUGCCCCGCCCGCAGGUGGGGGCGCCUGCCUACAGACCUCCGAUGCUGGCUUCCUUGUGGAAAUCUGUCUUCUUUGACUGUGCCCUGGGAUACGGGACAUGGUGGACGUGAUGCUGUCCUGCUCCAGGCCACCAAGGAUAACCUCCCUGGGACCGCAACUCUCCCCCUGUGCCCAGAGGGCCUGGGGCAGCAGCUCCUCAAGUAGGGAGGCAUCCUUCACUUAACAGACCCUGAGCCUCAAUUUGGAGCCGUGGACCCUACCUGCAUUCCCAUGAUGCUGAGACAAUGCUGUCCACCCCAGCUUCACACCCCUACCUGGGGGGAUCUGGCUAAAUGACAUAAUGUGUAACUCUGAAUAAAACGGAUUUCUUUCGAGAAUUUUGGGAUGAU
rnacentral:lncRNA from 1 species